rnacentral:misc_RNA from 1 species
GAUGAAGAACGUAGCGAAAUGCGAUAAGUAGUGUGAAUUGCAGAAUUCAGUGAAUCAUCGAAUCUUUGACCGCACAUUGCGCCCCUUGGUAUUCCAUGGGGCAUGCCUGUUCGAGCGUCAUUUGUACCUUCAAGCUUUGCUUGGUGUUGGGUGUUUGUCUCGCCUCCGCGUGUAGACUCGCCUCAAAACAAUUGGCAGCCGGCGUAUUGAUUUCGGAGCGCAGUACAUCUCGCGCUUGCACUCACAACGACGACGUCCAAAAGUACAUUUUUACACUCUUGACCUCGGAUCAGGUAGGGAUACCCGCUGAACUUAAGCAUAUCAAUAAGCGGAGGA